UCUCCGUAGGUGAACCUGCGGAGGGAUCAUUACAGAGUUCAUGCCCUACCGGGUAGAUCUCCCACCCUAUGUUAUUAUUACUUUGUUGCUUUGGCGGGCCGUUAGGCUCCGGCCCGACUACCGGCCCCGGCUGGUAAGCGCCCGCCAGAGGACCCAAAACCCUGAAUAUUAGUGUCGUCUGAGUACUAUAUAAUAGUUAAAACUUUCAACAACGGAUCUCUUGGUCCUGGCAUCGAUGGAGAACGCAG
rnacentral:misc_RNA from 1 species